rnacentral:lncRNA from 1 species
AUAGGCAUUAGCAAAGCAGCUUUACGUUUUGUCACGCAUUGCAGAGCAUUCAAGAGGUUUCCCGUCAUUAUUGUGAGUAAGGACUUAAUAUAAAGAAUUUAAAACAUUUGGGCAAAGAAUAAUCUUGUUUGAAACAACAAGAAGACACACUGAGAAGAGAUUUUUUGGAUAUUUGCAUCGUCAGUACAACUCUAAGUCAAGGUUUCUUUCUUGUGAAGAGCUCAAACUGAACAAUCUCCCGGUUUAAAGAAUUGAGUAAAAAAGGCUUUGAAAUCCGUACAAGUUAGGGAACGAAUUUUAUUGACAGAGCAUCGAAAGUGCAGGACGGGAGUGAGCAUAUAUAUGACCUGGAUGAGAACGAGUGCACGACUUCCUCAUGAAUUAAUCCCUGACGUAACAGUUAUGGACUAUUAAAGCUGGACGGGAAACAAGACUAAUCUAAGUGAUUUAUAUCAAGGAAAAUCAAGAAAUUUUCAGUAUUUCUGACUUGAUUUCAAGAGUGGUUACACAAAAGUUACAAAACCGUCACAAACACCUAGAAAGUUGGAUGAUGAAAUUUGAAUUGUAACAGCUUAAUCCGCUGUCUUUGAUAGUACAUACACGACAUGGAAACAUUGAAAGCUUUGGUUCAUCGUGACCGAGGACGAACCGACGACGGCCAAUGGCUCCUAGUUAAUGCAGAAUCGGAAAGUACUUCUGGUGAAGAGGUUUUUUUAGCAGCGACAGAAAAUUCCUUGAGGCCUCGGACACAUUUGGUGGAACCGAGGGCAAAGAGACAGCCCUCUCGAAAGACAAGUUCAACUUCGUCCGAGGGAAUUCCGAAGUCAAACGAAGAUUCUACCAACAGAACGGAAAAAGUUACGAACGUCAGACUAAUGCCACGUUUGACUACAAGGAGAAAUGCUAUUUGUGAUGUGAUAGAAAGAGAUACGUUUUCGGGUUCCAGGAGUUUGAGAAAGGAAAGAGAAGACUUACUUCGGUGCAUAACACUUGGGAACUACUCCCUGUUGUAGAGUCGAAGUAUUUGUGCCAGUAAUUUUACAACUACGAACCUGGAAAAUAGGUUCUAAAUAUUUUUUUAAUAGAUUCUAGAGGUUCUUUUCAGUCGUACUAAUAAUGAAAGAAAACAGUAUCACUACGUUGACCUUAAAGUCGUGGGCAUCAGUGUCUUCUUUAGGCGAUCAGUGGUGCUGAUGUUGCAGUACAUGAUCUAAUCUUCAAAAUAUCUAAAAUCUAACGGAUUCACCACUCCGAGCACGGAAAGCCUAACUCAUUUUGCAACCGACUUGAUGAGGCUAACGAUAGAUCGAAUUAUAAUUUAGAAGCUAAUUUUUAUUUCCGGGAAGGAGGAGAGACGAGCGCUCUCGCCGAUACGCCACCCUUUCUUACUUUGAAUUCACUGACAAGUUUGAGCCACGAAGCCUUAUAUGUCAUUUAAAACAUGAUUCGUUAUAUUCAUUGCAUAACAGAAGAGGCAUAUACUAGUAAGGUUACACAAUUUACUCCCCUAUGAUCGUUCCAAAUUUGAUCGCCUAUAUAACUAAAUUGAAAGUAUGCUUGGAAUCCCCUUCGAAAAACGUCUGGAAACGCCCAUUAAAAGAAAACCCAUAACUAGGCAAGCUUAUUGGAUGAAAGCCGAUCCUGAAAGCCAAUGAGGAUCAGCAACCACACCUUUUCUAGGACUAAAAAUAGACCCCUUGCAUGUGACGUCAAUGCAGUUCGAUCUGGAGGACAAAACGAAAGAAUUCCAAUAUCCUGAGAAUUGUAACCUAUCGUUUUGUCCCCAGAUUGAGCUGCAUUCCUAAGUCCUGCAAGGGGUGUAUAGAACAAAAUUACAUGCAUUUAUAUGUAUUAUUAAUCUUCCUAGUUUAAUUAAGGAAAAUCUAUGGAUAAAUUUCAACCUCACAACGUACAACUCAGACGUCUAAGCCAGUUCCAAACCAUACUGUAUCGUGUAUACAACAUAGGAUUACUUUUGAUAAGAAAUUUAACAAACAUCUUAUAAUCUAAUGUUGUUUACCAUCUCAAGAAAGAUCUAAAUUUCAACCCAACUUUUACAUGAUUGUGAUCGACAUUGAAUUGUUUCUGAUAGUUUACUUAUCAUAAUCAUAUUCUAAUAAUUGAUACUGGAUUGUAUAUCUUAUAAAAAGUGGCUAGUUCUCUAGUUAUGCAAAGACCAGACUUCUUAAAAUCGUGGUACAUGACACGGUCAAGGUAAAGAAGGGCGACGUACUAGAAGUAUCUGUCUAUCCAAUCAAAAUGCUUGUACACAUGUCUGUACUUUUUAGGAUGUUAGCUGUAACAAUAGAUUUUUUCUCAUGUUUA